GUCGCGCUAUGGACUAUUUGUCUUGAACUCGCGCGCAUUCUGUUUAUGUUUUGUGUUUCUUUAUGACCCGCUGCGCUGUUACAUGGAACUCAAGUCUGCAUCGCUCGUCGACGGUGAGACCGGGAAGCGCCGACACGAGAGGAGCUGCUCUGAGAAAAUUGGCGCCAACACGACCUUCAGCUGAACCUGCAUCUUCGAAUCUCCCGGAAUUGUUCACUCAAGGACAGCGGCGAUGACAACACCGGCUUUCCCGCGUCAUGGGCUGCUGAAAGCUAUCGCGUUACAUUUGCGUAACUGGUCGCAUUUACCACUUGCUGCUACGCAAUUGCACUGCUGUGUUCCAGUGAUCGAAGCAGACGCGUAGCAUCUUGUGCGGACAUGUCGAGGGUACAAUAGCAACGCCCCUGUCACCUGCUGCAAGCCGGCCUUUUCUACCGUGUCAUGACCGCAGCUGAAUACGUAAGAGAUUCCACAAGAGACUGCGUCACUUCAUACUCAACACCGGUCUUACGGAACACAUCUAAUACACAUAUACACACAAAGUAAUAUUCCGUAAGGGAAAGUCUAUAUCGCAAUAAAAAAAGGUGCAAUUUUUCAAGAAUGUGUGUGUCACAUUGGGAAAGCUGGCAUGUUUCUCUUUUGAAAUGCGUGGGAUCAUUAAAAGAUAUUGCGUUCGA
rnacentral:misc_RNA from 1 species